rnacentral:rRNA from 1 species
GACGAACGCUGGCGGCGCGCUUAACACAUGCAAGUCGAACGGAAAGGCCUGCUUUCCCUUGUGGAUUGCGGGUACUCGAGUGGCGAACGGGUGAGUAACACGUGAGUGAUCUGCCCCCAACUUGGGUAUAAGCCUGGGAAACUGGGUCUAAUUCCCGAUAGGACUGCAGGGUGGUGCCUGUGGUGGAAAACGAUUUUCUAGUGGUUGGGGAUGAGCUCGCGGCCUAUCAGCUUGUUGGUGGGGUAAUGGCCUACCAAGGCGGCGACGGGUAGCCGGCCUGAGAGGGUGGACGGCCACAUUGGGACUGGGAUACGGCCCAGACUCCUACGGGAGGCAGCAGUGGGGAAUAUUACACAAUGGGCGGAAGCCUGAUGCAGCGACGCCGCGUGGGGGAUGACGGCCUUCGGGUUGUAAACUCCUUGCGACCGCGAGGAAGCCACCUGGUUGGAAGGGUGGUGACGGUAGUGGUAGAAGAAGCACCGGCUAACUACGUG